AUUGAACGCUGGCGGCAGGCUUAACACAUGCAAGUCGAGCGGGGUGAUGGUGCUUGCACUAUCACUUAGCGGCGGACGGGUGAGUAAUGCUUAGGAAUCGGCCUAUUAGUGGGGGACAACAUCUCGAAAGGGAUGCUAAUACCGCAUACGUCCUACGGGAGAAAGCAGGGGAUCACUUGUGACCUUGCGCUAAUAGAUGAGCCUAAGUCGGAUUAGCUAGGUGGUGGGGUAAAGGCCUACCAAGGCGACGAUCUGUAGCGGGUCUGAGAGGAUGAUCCGCCACACUGGGACUGAGACCAGGCCCAGACUCCUACGGGAGGUAGCAGUGGGGAAUAUUGGACAAUGGGGGGAACCCUGAUCCAGCCAUGCCGCGUGUGUGAAGAAGGCCUUAUGGUUGUAAAGCACUUUAAGCGAGGAGGAGGCUCUUUUGGUUAAUACCCAAGAUGAGUGGACGUUACUCGCAGAAUAAGCACCGGCUAACUCUGUGCCAGCAGCCGCAGUAA
rnacentral:rRNA from 1 species